rnacentral:tRNA from 1 species
GGUGGAGAAGCUUGAAAGCCGGAUAGCUACCGCAGGAGAAGCAUCAGGUUGCGCAUAGAAAACAUGUCCUGAAGUCGUGGGUUCGAUACCCACCUCCACCACCA